UACGAAGGGGGCUAGCGUUGUUCGGAAUUACUGGGCGUAAAGCGCACGUAGGCGGAUCGAUCAGUCAGGGGUGAAAUCCCAGGGCUCAACCCUGGAACUGCCUUUGAUACUGUCGAUCUGGAGUAUGGAAGAGGUGAGUGGAAUUCCGAGUGUAGAGGUGAAAUUCGUAGAUAUUCGGAAGAACACCAGUGGCGAAGGCGACAUACUGGUCCGUUACUGACGCUGAGGCUCGAAAGCGUGGGGAGCAAACAGG
rnacentral:rRNA from 1 species